rnacentral:rRNA from 2 species
GCGACCCCAGGUCAGGCGGGAUCACCCGCUGAGUUUAAGCAUAUCAAUAAGCGGAGGAAAAGAAACUAACAAGGAUUCCCUUAGUAACGGCGAGCGAACCGGGAAGAGCCCAGCUUGAAAAUCGGACGUCUUCGGCGUUCGA